rnacentral:rRNA from 1 species
AGCAGCCGCGGUAAUUCCAGCUCCAAUAGCGUAUAUUAAAGUUGCUGCAGUUAAAAAGCUCGUAGUUGAAUUUCGGGACCGAUAUAUCGGUCGUGCCUCGGUACGUACUGGUAUUUUCGGUUUCUACCUUCUGACGAACCUUGAUGUCAUUAAUUUGGUGUCUUGGGGAAUCAGGACUGUUACUUUGAAAAAAUUAGAGUGUUUAAAGCAGGCUCACGCUUGAAUACAUUAGCAUGGAAUAAUGAAAUAGGACGUUUGAUUCUAUUUUGUUGGUUUCUAGGAUCGACGUAAUGAUUAAUAGGGAUAGUUGGGGGCAUUAGUAUUCAAUUGUCAGAGGUGAAAUUCUUGGAUUUAUUGAAGACUAACUACUGCGAAAGCAUUUGCCAAGGAUGUUUUCAUUAAUCAAGAACGAAAGUUAGGGAUCGAAGACGAUCAGAUACCGUCGUAGUCUUAACCAUAAACUNUGCCGACUAGGGAUCGGGAUGAUUGUUUAAUUUUUAUGUACUCAUUCGGCGUCCUU